UACGUAGGUGGCAAGCGUUGUCCGGAUUUACUGGGCGUAAAGAGCGCGCAGGCGGUCGUUCAAGUCGCGUGUGAAAGCCCCCGGCUCAACUGGGGAGGGUCACGCGAUACUGAUCGACUCGAAGGCAGGAGAGGGAAGUGGAAUUCCGGGUGGAGUGGUGAAAUGCGUAGAGAUCCGGAGGAACACCAGAGGCGAAGGCGGCCUGCUGGGCUGCACCUGACGCUGAGACGCGAAAGCCAGGGGAGCGAACGGG
rnacentral:rRNA from 1 species